UGAUCCUGGCUCAGAACGAACGCUGGCGGCAGGCCUAACACAUGCAAGUCGAGCGCACCUUCGGGUGAGCGGCGGACGGGUUAGUAACGCGUGGGAACGUACCCUUUUCUACGGAAUAGCCUUUGGAAACGAAGAGUAAUACCGUAUACGCCCUUUGGGGGAAAGAUUUAUCGGAGAAGGAUCGGCCCGCGUUAGAUUAGAUAGUUGGUGGGGUAACGGCUUACCAAGUCUACGAUCUAUAGCUGGUUUUAGAGGAUGAUCAGCAACACUGGGACUGAGACACGGCCCAGACUCCUACGGGAGGCAGCAGUGGGGAAUCUUAGACAAUGGGCGCAAGCCUGAUCUAGCCAUGCCGCGUGAGUGAUGAAGGCCUUAGGGUCGUAAAGCUCUUUCGCCUGUGAUGAUAAUGACGGUAGCAGUAGAAGAAACCCCGGCUAACUCCGUGCCAGCAGCCGCGGUAAUACGGAGGGGGUUAGCGUUGUUCGGAAUUACUGGGCGUAAAGCGUACGUAGGCGGAUUAAUAAGUUAGAGGUGAAAUCCCAGGGCUCAACCCUGGAACUGCCUUUAAAACUGUUAGUCUUGAGAUCGAGAGAGGUGAGUGGAAUUCCAAGUGUAGAGGUGAAAUUCGUAGAUAUUUGGAGGAACACCAGUGGCGAAGGCGGCUCACUGGCUCGAUACUGACGCUGAGGUACGAAAGUGUGGGGAGCAAACAGGAUUAGAUACCCUGGUAGUCCACACCGUAAACGAUGAAUGCCAGACGUCAGCAAGCAUGCUUGUUGGUGUCACACCUAACGGAUUAAGCAUUCCGCCUGGGGAGUACGGUCGCAAGAUUAAAACUCAAAGGAAUUGACGGGGGCCCGCACAAGCGGUGGAGCAUGUGGUUUAAUUCGACGCAACGCGCAGAACCUUACCAACCCUUGACAUACUUGUCGCGGAUUCCAGAGAUGGAUUCCUUCAGUUCGGCUGGACAAUGUACAGGUGCUGCAUGGCUGUCGUCAGCUCGUGUCGUGAGAUGUUCGGUUAAGUCCGGCAACGAGCGCAACCCACGUCCUUAGUUACCAGCAUUUAGUUGGGUACCCUAAGGAGACUGCCGGUGAUAAGCCGGAGGAAGGUGUGGACGACGUCAAGUCAUCAUGGCCCUUACGUGUUGGGCUACACACGUGCUACAAUGAUACUUACAGUGGGAAGCAAAGAGGCAACUCCUAGCCAAUCCCUAAAAUGUAUCUCAGUUCGGAUUGCACUCUGUAACUCGAGUGCAUGAAGCUGGAAUUGCUAGUAAUCGCGGAUCAGCGCGCCGCGGUGAAUACGUUCCCGGGUCUUGUACACACCGCCCGUCACACCAUGGGAAUUGGGUCUACCCGAAGGUGGUGCGCCAACUAUUUAUAGAGGCAGCCAACCACGGUAGGUUCAGUGACUGGGGUGAAGUCGUAACAAGGUAACC
rnacentral:rRNA from 1 species